AGCGAACGCUGGCGGCAGGCUUAACACAUGCAAGUCGAGCGGGCGUAGCAAUACGUCAGCGGCAGACGGGUGAGUAACGCGUGGGAACGUACCUUUUGGUUCGGAACAACACAGGGAAACUUGUGCUAAUACCGGAUAAGCCCUUACGGGGAAAGAUUUAUCGCCGAAAGAUCGGCCCGCGUCUGAUUAGCUAGUUGGUGUGGUAACGGCGCACCAAAGGCGACGAUCAGUAGCUGGCUGAGAGGAUGAUCAGCCACAUUGGGACUGAGACACGGCCCAAACUCCUACGGGAGGCAGCAGUGGGGAAUAUUGGACAAUGGGCGCAAGCCUGAUCCAGCCAUGCCGCGUGAGUGAUGAAGG
rnacentral:rRNA from 1 species